UACGAAGGGGGCUAGCGUUGCUCGGAAUCACUGGGCGUAAAGCGCACGUAGGCGGCUUCUUAAGUCAGGGGUGAAAUCCCGGAGCUCAACUCCGGAACUGCCUUUGAUACUGGGGAUCUUGAGUCCGGGAGAGAUGAGUGGAACUGCGAGUGUAGAGGUGAAAUUCGUAGAUAUUCGCAAGAACACCAGUGGCGAAGGCGGCUCACUGGCCCGGUACUGACGCUGAGGUGCGACAGCGUGGGGAGCAAACAGG
rnacentral:rRNA from 1 species